CAGCAUUAUUUCUUGGAUCUCUUUUAACAGGAAUAAUAAUAAUUAUUAUCUAUAUAUUUCUCAAAAAAUUUUAAAUUAUCUUAUAUAUUUCUAUAAUUUUUAAAUAUAUCUCUCGCGUAGUUUUUCGUUAUUAAAAAUUAACUUUACCGUUAGUAUCUGUUAAGUCAUUUUAGAUUAAUAUCAAAUUAAAUUUCUAUCGGAGAAAUUAAAAUAUUUUUUUAAUUUCUAAUUUAAGCACAAAUAAGAAAAAUGAGUGGUAAUAAAAAAACAUAUUUAGAAGGAUGAAAAAAUAAAUAAAAAAAAUUAGUGGCAGUAAAAAAUAUAUUUUUAAAAAACAUAAAAAAGUAA
rnacentral:lncRNA from 1 species